rnacentral:rRNA from 1 species
UACGGGGGGAGCAAGCGUUGUUCGGAUUUACUGGGCGUAAAGGGCGCGUAGGCGGUCAGCACAAGUCAGUUGUGAAAUCUCCGAGCUUAACUCGGAAAGGUCAACUGAUACUGUGCGACUAGAGUGCGGAAGGGGCAACUGGAAUUCUUGGUGUAGCGGUGAAAUGCGUAGAUAUCAAGAGGAACACCUGCGGCGAAGGCGGGUUGCUGGCCGACACUGACGCUGAGGCGCGAAAGCUAGGGGAGCGAACGGG